GAAUCCACCGGGGUGCAGCGAGGCUGUGGAAAGUCCCACCCAGAACGUGAGUGGGGACUCACCUGCACGUUUUGCGAAGAGGCCCACAGUCCUUUGCGUGGCGCUCGGACUACAUUUCCCAACGGCCCCUGCACGCCCUGGGGGCUGUUCCAUGCGGUGUUGCGCCUGCGUAGCCGGCGGGCUGGCAGUGAGACUGACUGCGUCGGGGUUGAGACUGGGUGGAUGAGGCUCACCCCGGCGGGGAGAAGGGACGAGGAGGGGCGGACAGCGGAAGGUCCGGGAGUGUCCGCCAUAAAGUCGUUUGAGGUGACCGUUGCGUAAUUGUGAGUCUGUGAGAGAAGAUGUGAAGUAUGGCCUCGUCCCGGUCAUCUGGGCGUGCGGGUCCCGGGUUUUGAUCGCGCGUUUGUGUAGUUUUAACUUCUAGUCAUGGCGAAUGAUCGCAGGAGAGCACAGACUGGACCCUGCUACGAUCUCUCUUGGAGUGGAUCAGACUGAUGAUCACCAACAACCAACUCAUUCCCGGAUAAGGAAGAAGAGAGUGUCACCUACUUCAGUGUGGUUUCAACCCUACUUCUGCAUCUUAAAGACACUUGUACAACGUUGGACACUGUGCAGGAUGAUGCCACUUCAUCUUGGAUGCUAAUCUGCCAUGUUGACUUCUGAUUAACCCCAGGCCCAGGAAUGCCUCAAGAUUUCUACUUUACUUACUGUUGCUUGUGUAAGCCAAGACAACCUUGAUGUUAUCAUAAACAUGUACUUACCUAAGUCCUGUCCUUUGGCAAAUUAUGGGCUAUGAGACACAGCAUUCUUGCCUUUCCCUGAGGGGUCAAUUUCAGCGAUCCUACACAUUCCUUCUGAAGCACUUAUGCUCUUUCUAUAUGGUAUGUAAGCUCUCGGUCUGGGGAGUAACAGUGCAGAGAUCUACCUGUCUUGUUGCCACAUGUUUCUAAACUUUCCAAUAAAUCACCUUCUACUGA
rnacentral:lncRNA from 1 species